AACAAUAUCUAAUUAAUAGCCCAACUAAUAAUUAGUUAAGCCCAAUAGCCCAAACACUUAUUCAAUUAAUUGAAGCCCAAAAUAAUGCAGCCCAAUUGAAUAAAGCAACCCAACAACUAGAAUAUAGAACCCAAUAAGCUGUAAGACAACAGGCCCAAUUUCUUCUCUAGAAUCACACUCAGACCCAAAGUAAUCAAGCACCACUCUCUUCUCCAAACAAAUCACGCGCUGACCUAAUUUCGUCUGCAAAAUCCAUGCUCACCGCACCAAAAUCAAAAUGAACCCAACUAGAAACCGUCAACGAGCCUGCCCAAACUGCAGAGGAAAUCAACUGACUGUGAAAAGUGGAAGAAAUUGAGCGGACGGGGUCCAAAUCGCCGACCAGAGACUCGUCGGUAAAGACCCUAAACACCGGAGAUCAGAAUCCAACUAGAAAACCUAAACUGCACCUUCGACCAGGGCCGCCUGAACCAAAGCCACGCACACCGGAGAUCGGACUCCACGCAGCCACCAAAAAACAGAACCGGAAAUACACACACCGGAUGGUUCCUUAGCAGCCAAAUUCUUUACUAGCACAGCUCCCUUGAGAUAAGAAUCCAAAGUUGAAGUCAUGCAUCGACCAAGCAUCUGAUAAAGAGAAUAAAAUGGCAUAAUUAUGUCUUAUGUAACUACCCUGGUGUCAUCAAAGCAACCACGAGCCAUUGUGACCUGCAGAUUCAAACAACAACGUAUUAUUUCCUAAGGUGCCAAGUAUGAAUUCUUCAAGGAGGGAGGGGCGUGGAAGACAAUACCUUUCUAGUUGAUAAGCAAAAUCUAUCAACCAGUUCGGAGACUCCCAUCAUACCAUCAGGUGCCAGUUUAGUAGGUGUCACGAUAAUGACUGUCGGAUCGUAAAAAUUUAGCAGUGUCUUUGUGUUUUGGUAUGAACUACUAGUCUCAAUGUACUGUGAAAGAUGCAGUGAAGCUGAUCUCAAGUCAAAUGCAGCCACUCCUACCUGCCAAGCAGAUAGUACCAUUAAUUUCAGCAGCCAAGUCAGCUGCCAGAAUUAUAUUGACAAUUUUUUUAUCUUUAAAGUUAUUAGAAAAAGGUCAAUUUAUCUUAUCAACAAUGUGGCAGUACUAGAGUUUCUGAAUUCACUAAUAAUGUACAUUCAUUCAAAACAAAUGAAAUUUGCGCUAUACAAAGCAAACAAAAGCAAAAUACAAAUGCGAAACUAUGGGAUAAUUUUAUCUU